rnacentral:rRNA from 1 species
ACGGGUGAGUACACGUAAGCAACCUGCCUUUAAGACGAGAAUAACAAUUGGAAACAGUUGCUAAGGCUGGAUAGGAAAUAAAAAGGCAUCUUUUUAUUUUUAAAAGACCUUUUUCGGAAGGUAUGCUUAAAGAGGGGCUUGCGUCACAUUAGUUAGUUGGUAGGGUAAAGGCCUACCAAGACGAUGAUGUGUAGCUGGACUGAGAGGUUGAACAGCCACAUUGGGACUGAGACACGGCCCAAACUCCUACGGGAGGCAGCAGUAGGGAAUUUUCGGCAAUGGAGGAAACUCUGACCGAGCAACGCCGCGUGAACGACGAAGUACUUCGGUAUGUAAAGUUCUUUUAUUGAAGAAGAAAUAAUAGUGGAAAAACUAUCUUGACGUUAUUCAAUGAAUAAGCCCCGGCUAACUAUGUGCCAGCAGCCGCGGUAAUACAUAGGGGGCGAGCGUUAUCCGGAAUUAUUGGGCGUAAAGGGUGCGUAGGCGGUUUAAUAAGUCUCUAGUUUAAUUUCAACGCUUAACGUUGUCCUGCUAGAGAAACUGUUUAACUAGAGUGAGAUAGAGGUAAGCGGAAUUCCAUGUGUAGCGGUAAAAUGUGUAAAUAUAUGGAGGAACACCAGAGGCGUAGGCGGCUUACUGGGUCUUUACUGACGCUGAUGCACGAAAGCGUGGGGAGCAAACAGGAUUAGAUACCCUGGUAGUCCACGCCGUAAACUAUGAGUACUAAGUGUCGGGGUUAAACUCGGUACUGAAGUUAACACAUUAAGUACUCCGCCUGAGUAGUACGUACGCAAGUAUGAAAUUUAAAGGAAUUGACGGGAUCCCGCACAAGCGGUGGAUCAUGUUGUUUAAUUCGAAGAUACACGAAAAAACCUUACCCAGGUCUUGACAUACUCUGCAAAGAUAUAGAAAUAUAGUGGAGGUUAUCAGGGGAUACAGGUGGUGCAUGGUUGUCGUCAGCUCGUGUCGUGAGAUGUUAGGUUAAGUUCUAAAACGAGCGCAACCCCUGUCGUUAAUUGCCAGCACGUUAUGGUGGGGACUUUAGCGAGACUGCCAAUGAAAAAUUGGAGGAAGGUGGGGAUUACGUCAAAUCAUCAUGCCCCUUAUGAUCUGGGCUACAAACGUGAUACAAUGGCUAUUACAAAGAGUAGCUGAAACGCGAGUUUUUGGCAAAUCCCAAAAAAAUAGUCUCAGUUCGGAUUGAAGUCUGCAACUCGACUUCAUGAAGUUGGAAUCGCUAGUAAUCGCGAAUCAGCAUGUCGCGGUGAAUAUGUUCUCGGGGUUUGUACACACCGCCCGUCAAACCACGAAAGUGGACAAUACCCGAAAGCGACAGCCUAACUGCGUAAGCAGAGGGAAUCGUCUAAGGUAGGGUCGAUGAUUGGGGUUAAGUCGUAACAAGGUAUCCCUACCGGAAGGUGGGGAUGGAUCACCUCCUUUCU